rnacentral:rRNA from 1 species
AUUGAACGCUGGCGGAAUGCUUUACACAUGCAAGUCGAACGGCAGCACGGACUUCGGUCUGGUGGCGAGUGGCGAACGGGUGAGUAAUAUAUCGGAACGUGCCCAGUCGUGGGGGAUAACGUAGCGAAAGCUACGCUAAUACCGCAUACGAUCUACGGAUGAAAGCGGGGGAUCGCAAGACCUCGCGCGAUUGGAGCGGCCGAUAUCAGAUUAGGUAGUUGGUGAGGUAAAGGCUCACCAAGCCGACGAUCUGUAGCUGGUCUGAGAGGACGACCAGCCACACUGGGACUGGGACACGGCCCAGACUCCUACGGGAGGCAGCAGUGGGGAAUUUUGGACAAUGGACGCAAGUCUGAUCCAGCCAUUCCGCGUGCAGGACGGAGGCCUUCGGGUUGUAAACUGCUUUUGUACAGAACGAAAAGCUCUGAGUUAAUACCUCGGGGUCAUGACGGUACUGUAAGAAUAAGCACCGGCUAACUACGUGCCAGCAGCCGCCGUAA